CCUACGGGAGGCAGCAGUGAGGAAUAUUGGUCAAUGGGCGGGAGCCUGAACCAGCCAAGCCGCGUGAGGGAAGAAGGUACAGCGUAUCGUAAACCUCUUUUGUCAGGGAACAAAGGCGGGGACUAGUCCCCGGAUGAGGGUACCUGAAGAAAAAGCAUCGGCUAACUCCGUGCCAGCAGCCGCGGUAAUACGGAGGAUGCGAGCGUUAUCCGGGUUUAUGGGGUUUAAAGGGUGCGCAGGCGGCCUGUUAAGUCAGCGGUAAAAGGCAGGGGCUCAACCCCGGCGAGCCGUUGAAACUGGCGGGCUGGAGUUGGAGAGAAGUACGCGGAAUGCGCGGUGUAGCGGUGAAAUGCUUAGAUAUCGCGCAGAACCCCGAUUGCGAAGGCAGCGUACCGGCUCCACACUGACGCUGAGGCACGAAAGCGUGGGUAUCGAACAGGAUUAGAUACCCCAGUAGUC
rnacentral:rRNA from 1 species